AACGAUAUCGAGUUAAAAGACUUGGAAUUAAGUUGUCCUGAUUCAAGUGACUUUGCCCAGCAUCCCGCAGAUUACAUGGAUAUAAAAGAAACAAGCUUGGAUGACACUCAAACUAAAGCUGCUAGCCAAGUUGCUGAUUACACGCCACUUCAUCCAUCGACGCGCUCCUGGGAAGUGUCAAGGGAUCAUGUGACAAUAGAAAAAAUCAUUGGUAAAGGUGCUUUCGGUCAGGUGGCAAAGGGAACAGCUACAGACCUUCGCGGAAGGCCUGCGAGAACAACGAUAGCCAUCAAAAUGCUCAAAGAUGACGCCUCAGAAUCGGACACGAGGGACUUGGUGAAUGAACUUGAAACCAUGAAGCAGCUAAAACCACAUCCACACGUCAUAAAACUUGUGGGAUGUGUUACAGAAACUGAGCCUCUGCUGGUGUUGAUCGAGUACGUUCCUUUUGGGGAUUUGCUGGGUUACCUAAGAAAAAGCCGUGGUUUAAAUGAUACUUACUUCAAAGACCCGGAUAUAAAACCACGAACGAAUCUGACGUCACAGCAGCUGAUGAAGUUUGCUUGGCAGAUCGCUGAUGGAAUGAGUUACUUAUCCUCAAAAUCUAUCAUCCACCGAGACCUCGCAGCCCGUAAUGUAUUGGUUGGAAAAAACGAAACAUGUAAAGUAACAGAUUUUGGAAUGGCCAGAGAUGUGCAACAGGAAAAUAUUUAUGAAAAAAAGACAAAGGGUCGUCUUCCAGUAAAGUGGACAGCUUACGAGGCGUUGUUGUAUGGCACAUACACCACCAAAAGUGAUGUAUGGAGUUACGGAGUUCUCCUUUAUGAGAUUUUCACAAUAGGUGGUUCCCCUUAUCCACGGAUGGAUGGUAAGAAAAUUGCGAAACUACUUCAGCAGGACUACAGAAUGCCUAAGCCCCAACAUGUAGAUGAUGAGUUGUACCAGAUCAUGAUGAGGUGCUGGCAAAAUGACCCGGAUGUUCGACCAACAUUUACUGAGUUAAGAAACCAGCUUAAGGACAUGGAAACGAAACAUAAGGUGUAAAAGGUAAAUCCUGCCAACCAGCCUGCACCAACCAGCCAGUAUUUCUCCAAUAACUGUACCAGAUCCUGAUGAGAUGCUGGCAAAAUGAUGCACAUGUUCGACCAACAUUUACUGAGUUAAGAAACGAUCUUAAGGAAAUGGAAACCCUACACAAGAGACUGAUCAACAUGAACAUGUGCGACAGGCAGUUGUAUGCAAACGUUGAGGACUUAAACGUUUAGUCAUCAAUCUCUUUUAUAUCGCCUCACGCAGGAUUUGCAGUAAACGUGCAUUUUCUUACUCGAUAUUGGCUGGGAAACACAUACUUGCUUCAAAAAAGCCGAGAUUGGAAAGAGUCACAUCAUAGUGUAAAAAAUAACAGCCUUAUCUGAGUCCUUUUAAACCUCUCUGAUGAUAACGAUGACCUUCUCUACUUUUAGAAGCUUUCUGUAUUUUUCACUUUUUUCGUUUGGUUUGAAAAAUGAUAUAAAAGCAGGUUAUAUUAAUAAAAGCAGAUUAUACUUUAAGAUGCAUAAACAUCAUCAAGUUUUGACUAAUGUUGUGUGACCUUGUGUGACCGUUUCUAAAGUGAGCACACUCCCAUUUCCCCUUAAAAAUCAUUAAAUACUCCAGAUAAAGAAAAGAUGUAAAGUUCCUGUACUGUGAUGAUGGGAUAUGCUGCAACCUGGUCAGCAUCGUAUAAUUCCUUAUGUAUUUUCUUACAAUG